AAAUAUAUCUAAACAUGUGGAUGUUAUAUGUUACUACAAGAGGAAAUAGUAUGGGAAAAUUACAUUUCCAAAUGAUUCUGAAUGAUCACAUAUGAACACACAUCUAUGACUUUUCCCCAAAGCCUAACCAAGAGCCAAUAGUAGGCUGAGGUCCUAAAAUUAAAUUAUCUUAAUAAGUGCAAGGGAUUAGAAUGAGAUCUUCCAGUCACACUGAUUUAAACCUAAGUGCAGUCUGACAAUGGAUUCUAUUCUUGCACUCAAAAUUGACAAUGUGUUUAAAAAUCAAAUAAAAAUAGUGUUUAGAAUCAUAUAGUCAGUCAUUACCAUGUGUAAUCCACAUCAGACAUGGUUUUCCUUUCCAUGGAUAAUCAAGAGUUGGACAUGUAUUCUAUUUUUGACCACAUUUCUGAUCCAGUUAAGUUGGUCAUAAUAGAGGAAAAUUCAAUUAAUGCUUUUCAAGGCUUAGCCCUUUUUCUUUAAUGGAUUAUCAAUGCUUGGGUAACAGCUGAAUGAGGAAGGGGCCUUAGAUACUACUGUCCUAAUGAGAGGAAGGAAAUAUAUUCUAUCAAAUGUUCAGAUGUACCUAUUCUUAGGUUUUAUUCUAACUAAUUCAGUAACAUUAAAAAUUAAUCUUUUCCACUCUUCAGAAAAGUGAAAAUUUUAGAUGGGAGAUUAGAGAAAAGAUUUAUGUAUGUAUUUAAUUAUUUAAUUAUUUAUGUGUAUAAAUGCUCCUACAGUUAUAAAUCAGUGCACACAGAGCUUGGUGCUUUGUGAUAGUGAAGAAGAGGUUUUGGAAAUCUGCAGUGGGGUGCUGUAAAGCAUAGGUAUUACCCAACAUCUUUAUGGUAAGCAGUUUCCUAGGGCAAAGGGAAGCCCUUCUUCUAAGGGUGGGUACUGUAUUUCACAGAUUUUUGCUACAGCCAAUUUCAUAAUUUAUUGCACCAGCUUUGUUCCUAACACACCAAGUAUUUCCCACCCUCCUUGCUAAGCAACCCCCACAGACUGAGAAACAAAUAAUCAAGGGACAUAUGUCUCUUCUUUGAUUUCAUCUGCUCCUCACCUGCCUGCUUCCCCAGCUCACCUCCUUUUUGAAGACCACUUACUACUGACACCUAACUGCCAGUAUCCUUUAUGACCUCAGAAAGACCCCAUGGCAAAGCAGAAGGCUCUCAGAAGCACAGACAGGUCUGAGAACCUAGAACAUGGCCUUCACCUACUGAGCUUCAGGAAACCCCCAUAUACACCAUGAUCACAGCUUAACUCCCAGGGGUAACAUGAUAGUAUUUUAUCCUUCUGAAAAUCUUUUCAGGAUUUAAGUUAAUUCCUCACAGGUAAGUAAAGAAAUUGACAUGAGGGUAACCAGCUGAGGACUAGAAACCAGAAGUAGGUUUGGAUUAGGAAGAUUCCAGCCACUGACAGGAGCCAAACUGAAUUCUCAACUGUUCUAAGAAAAUGACGAAAAAAGAAAGGUCAUCGAGAUGAAUGAUUUGUGAGCAUGAAGCGUACCCAUCACUGCUCUGGACUCUUCCCCGGCUGUCUCCCAACAUGCUGCCAUUGUGCUGAGCAGGAGUUCGUGUCUCGAGAGAUGACCCCAGGAUCUGUUGUCAGACAACCUGCAUCCACACACCUGUGCUGCCUCUUCCUACUGCGUGUCCAGCGUGUGGGGCUGUUCCCCACCCCUUGCCAGGAGCAUGGAGGAAAUUAGACUUAUUUCAAAGGACUGCUGGAAGAAUUAAAUUCCUUUUCCAAUUUGA